GCACCGAAGCUGCGGCAGCGACGCUUAUGCGUUGUUGGGUAGGGGAGCGUUCUGUAAGCCUGUGAAGGUGUGCUGUGAGGCAUGCUGGAGGUAUCAGAAGUGCGAAUGCUGACAUAAGUAACGAUAAAGCGGGUGAAAAGCCCGCUCGCCGGAAGACCAAGGGUUCCUGUCCAACGUUAAUCGGGGCAGGGUGAGUCGACCCCUAAGGCGAGGCCGAAAGGCGUAGUCGAUGGGAAACAGGUUAAUAUUCCUGUACUUGGUGUUACUGCGAAGGGGGGACGGAGAAGGCUAUGUUGGCCGGGCGACGGUUGUCCCGGUUUAAGCGUGUAGGCUGGUUUUCCAGGCAAAUCCGGAAAAUCAAGGCUGAGGCGUGAUGACGAGGCACUACGGUGCUGAAGCAACAAAUGCCCUGCUUCCAGGAAAAGCCUCUAAGCAUCAGGUAACAUCAAAUCGUACCCCAAACCGACACAGGUGGUCAGGUAGAGAAUACCAAGGCGCUUGAGAGAACUCGGGUGAAGGAACUAGGCAAAAUGGUGCCGUAACUUCGGGAGAAGGCACGCUGAUAUGUAGGUGAAGUCCCUCGCGGAUGGAGCUGAAAUCAGUCGAAGAUACCAGCUGGCUGCAACUGUUUAUUAAAAACACAGCACUGUGCAAACACGAAAGUGGACGUAUACGGUGUGACGCCUGCCCGGUGCCGGAAGGUUAAUUGAUGGGGUCAGCGCAAGCGAAGCUCUUGAUCGAAGCCCCGGUAAACGGCGGCCGUAACUAUAACGGUCCUAAGGUAGCGAAAUUCCUUGUCGGGUAAGUUCCGACCUGCACGAAUGGCGUAAUGAUGGCCAGGCUGUCUCCACCCGAGACUCAGUGAAAUUGAACUCGCUGUGAAGAUGCAGUGUACCCGCGGCAAGACGGAAAGACCCCGUGAACCUUUACUAUAGCUUGACACUGAACAUUGAGCCUUGAUGUGUAGGAUAGGUGGGAGGCUUAGAAGUGUGGACGCCAGUCUGCAUGGAGCCGACCUUGAAAUACCACCCUUUAAUGUUUGAUGUUCUAACGUUGACCCGUAAUCCGGGUUGCGGACAGUGUCUGGUGGGUAGUUUGACUGGGGCGGUCUCCUCCUAAAGAGUAACGGAGGAGCACGAAGGUUGGCUAAUCCUGGUCGGACAUCAGGAGGUUAGUGCAAUGGCAUAAGCCAGCUUGACUGCGAGCGUGACGGCGCGAGCAGGUGCGAAAGCAGGUCAUAGUGAUCCGGUGGUUCUGAAUGGAAGGGCCAUCGCUCAACGGAUAAAAGGUACUCCGGGGAUAACAGGCUGAUACCGCCCAAGAGUUCAUAUCGACGGCGGUGUUUGGCACCUCGAUGUCGGCUCAUCACAUCCUGGGGCUGAAGUAGGUCCCAAGGGUAUGGCUGUUCGCCAUUUAAAGUGGUACGCGAGCUGGGUUUAGAACGUCGUGAGACAGUUCGGUCCCUAUCUGCCGUGGGCGCUGGAGAACUGAGGGGGGCUGCUCCUAGUACGAGAGGACCGGAGUGGACGCAUCACUGGUGUUCGGGUUGUCAUGCCAAUGGCACUGCCCGGUAGCUAAAUGCGGAAGAGAUAAGUGCUGAAAGCAUCUAAGCACGAAACUUGCC
rnacentral:rRNA from 1 species